GACAAUGAACAGUUUUACUUUUAGGGUGGGGUCAGAAGAGGCGUGGUCUUGUUACUGUAGUUAUAAAAAGGUGGGGCUGGAUGUGCAAAACAACCAAGCAGGCAAGCACUGCACAAAAUCAAUGAAUCAAGCCUGAUUACAGUAUUGAUAGAGUCUGACAGGUAUCAAAACACUAGAAUACACCAAAGAAACCUAACCACCUUACUAGUCGAGACUUUUUUUGAUUACUGUGUCAUGGAAAGUGAGUCCUGAAGUUGGGGAAAUUCCAGCAAUCCUGGCAUCACCACAGGAAAUACCGGAGGACACAAAAAAUAAACUAGAUCUAGAUAAAUCAAAUGGAAGUAUUAUGAAAGAAAAUAAGGAUGAAAAUGUAGAACAUAAAAAUGAACCAGUAAAAGAUGCCAGCAGUAUGAAUACUAGCAGUAUGAAGGUUCAGAGUGAUGAUGAUACAAAGAGUGAAGAAACACCUACUGACCGAACCACUGACACUGUUUCACAAAGUGAUACAAAUGACUGCAAA